GACGGAAGGUGCAAGCGUUGCUCGGAAUCACUGGGCGUAAAGGGUGCGUAGGCGGCCGUGCAAGUCUGGCGUGAAAGCCCCGGGCUCAGCCCGGGAAGUGCGCUCGAAACUGCGCGGCUCGAGUGCCGGAGGGGAGAGUGGAAUUCCUGGUGUAGCGGUGAAAUGCGUAGAUAUCUGGAGGAACACCGGUGGCGAAGGCGGCAUCCUGGACCAAUAUUGACGCUGAGGAGCGAAAGCCAGGGGAGCAAACGGG
rnacentral:rRNA from 1 species